rnacentral:SRP_RNA from 1 species
AGCCGGGGAGAUAGCGGUGCCCUGUACCUGCAAUCCGCUACAGCAGGGGUGAUGGCAAGCAGAGGAUGUCUUUUUAUGAAGCAGCACUGGAUAAGUGGUGUUGACGUCUGGGUCUUGUGCAACGGGAAUUCAUGAAUCAUGUCAGGUCAGGAAUGAAGCAGCAUUAAGUGAAACCUUCCGUGUGCCGCAAGGCUGCCUGGAUCGAGCUAACUGUCCGGAAAGCGUUUAUGG